rnacentral:rRNA from 1 species
CAGCCGCCGCGGGAAAACAGAGGGUGCGAGCGUUAAUCGGAUUUACUGGGCGUAAAGCGUGCGUAGGCGGCUUUUUAAGUCGGAUGUGAAAUCCCUGAGCUUAACUUAGGAAUUGCAUUCGAUACUGGGAAGCUAGAGUAUGGGAGAGGAUGGUAGAAUUCCAGGUGUAGCGGUGAAAUGCGUAGAGAUCUGGAGGAAUACCGAUGGCGAAGGCAGCCAUCUGGCCUAAUACUGACGCUGAGGUACGAAAGCAUGGGGAGCAAACAGGAUUAGAUACCCCCGUAGUCCCUGUCUCUUAUAC